UCUAAUAUGGCAGAUUAGUGCAAUGAACUUAAGCUUCAUGAAUAAAUUUUUUUUUUGUUAGAA
rnacentral:tRNA from 1 species